UCUGGUGAUGAUGGCGAAGAGGUCACACCCGUUCCCAUGCCGAACACGGAAGUUAAGCUCUUCAGCGCCGAUGGUAGUCGGGGGUUUCCCCCUGUGAGAGUAGGACAUCGCCAG
rnacentral:rRNA from 2 species